rnacentral:rRNA from 1 species
AUUGAACGCUGGCGGCAUGCUUUACACAUGCAAGUCGAACGGUAACAGGCCGCAAGGUGCUGACGAGUGGCGAACGGGUGAGUAAUGCAUCGGAACGUGCCCAGUCGUGGGGGAUAACUACUCGAAAGAGUAGCUAAUACCGCAUACGAUCUAUGGAUGAAAGCGGGGGACCGUAAGGCCUCGCGCGAUUGGAGCGGCCGAUGUCAGAUUAGGUAGUUGGUGGGGUAAAGGCUCACCAAGCCAACGAUCUGUAGCUGGUCUGAGAGGACGACCAGCCACACUGGGACUGAGACACGGCCCAGACUCCUACGGGAGGCAGCAGUGGGGAAUUUUGGACAAUGGGCGCAAGCCUGAUCCAGCAAUGCCGCGUGCAGGAAGAAGGCCUGCGGGUUGUAAACUGCUUUUGUACGGAACGAAACGGCUCUGGUUAAUACCCGGGGCUAAUGACGGUACCGUAAGAAUAAGCACCGGCGAACUACGU